CCCUGAGGAGCCACGGGUCAACAUCCUGCUUCCGGCAGGCCCUCCCGGAGACCUCACAGAGGGGUGUUUGUUCGCAGUGGGCGGCGGGAGAGAUGCUAAUCGCGGUGGAUCGCUGCUCCGGCUGAAGGUCAGGAGGUGCCCAGUGGCCAGGGGAAUUGGAUCUGUCAGGAGCUGGAGUUGCGGGCCGUUGUGAGCCGCCUGAUGUGGCUGCUGAAAAUUGAAUUCGAGUCUGCAAGAAUUAGUGCAUGCUCUUAGCCGCUGAGCCAUCCCUCCGCGGCCCAGGAGCCCCGCUUCGGGCCCAGGAGCCCCGCUGGCGCUGGCACUCACUGGACGGUUCCGAUAGCGGCUGCUCACCUUUCCUUCUGGUCCAGGCUUCACAGCCAGAGUGGUUGUAUUAAGAAGUGAGUCAGAUGAUGCCGUUGCCCGGUCCCCCGUCCUUCUGAGGAAAGCGAAGUCUUUUGUGAUGGUCGUUUACCAUCUCUGCCUGCCCUGCCUCAUCUCCUCUACUGCUCAUUUGCUUCAGCUACCGGCUUUGUUCUGUGAUUACACAACCCAUGUACCUGCCUCAGGGCCUUAGCACUGACUGUUCCCUCGUGGAGUCUCCUUCCCCCAAGUAGCUCCAUGCUUUGCUCCUCCUCUUCUUCAGUUUUCCGUCACGGUUCUUAUCCAGACAGCCUUGCUUCGUGACCUCCAUGUUAAAAACUCAAGAGCACGCUCAGUGCCCAGAUCUUGUUUUCUGAUAACCAUUCUGUAAUGAAAGGACUCAGGGCUUCUUAGACUAGGGCGGGAAAUGUGCACGAUGAGUCUGGAGUAUCUUCAGCAUCAGAAAGGAAGAGCCAGAGGAAGGGUUGGAGACAAGAUCCACCUGAAUGUGGGCGUGUUCCACGGAGCUGGAGCAUCUGCCCAGCGCAGGAGGGGGGGACUGGAUUGUAUAACCCAGAGGUAAAACAUUCACCGGCUUGUGACAAUAAGUGACUGAAGAAGGCAGUCGGUGGGAGAGAAGAGCCCGGGUGUCAUGUGGCCCAGAAGGCCAGGGCCUCCUCAGCAGAGGCUUUACAGUGUGCACCAGCCAGGGCCGAGGCCACCGGCAGCGUGGUCAAGUUAGUACUGUGGCCCAAGUCGUAAAGAAAAUGGCAAGCCCUUUUGGCACCUGCUCCCCGGGCCUCACAACCCCAGUUUAGUCAUGUGAUGAAACGGCAUGCAAAAAAAAAAAAAAAAAAAAAAAAAAAAUUUUUUAAUUGUAUUUUUCUAUAUUUUGAGACAGGGUUUUGUGUAGCCCUGGCUGACUUUGGACUCACUGUGUAACUGAGGAUAGCCUUGAACUUCUGUCUCUCCUGCUACCACCUCUGAAAUACGGGGAUUCUGGGGAUAUUCUACCAUCCCCAGCUCCCAGCAGGCAGAUUUGGAUUUAAGGGCAUCUACCAAAUACCUGGCCAGGACCCCUCAAAACUACUAGACUCAUCAAAAGCAUGGAGUCUGUGAGACGUGGUUUGGCCAAGAGAAGCCUCUAGAGGGAGGACUAUGAGAUGGAACGUGGUGUGUGGAGGGGUCCCGGAACAGAAAGGACUAGAUGGACAAAGGAAGCCUAGUGAAAGGAUUAUAGAGGUUUCUAUGGAUAAUAAUCACCACUGGUGUGGUGACACUCACCGAAACCCUAACACUUGGGAGGCUGAGGCAGGAGGAUGGUGUCACUGAUGGAGAAACUAUGGUGGGGGAAGGGCAUGGGGAAGUCUUAUGCUGUGUUCUUAAUUUUUCUAUGAAUCUACAACUACCCUAAAAGUGCAUUCUGUUUUUUGUUUGUUUUGAAAUCACAUUCUCUAAGAUGGGCAUAGUGGAGCAUACCAGUAAUCCAGCACUCAAGAGGCAGAGACCAGAAGAUCAGGAGUUUGAGGCCAGCUCGGGCUACUUGGUAAAAGCCUGUCUCAAAAAAGGUAAACGAGCUGGCUAGGUGACUCAGAGGGUGAAGCUUUUACCACAGCCUGUCAGGCUGAGGUCCAUCCCUGGAGCCCUUGGGAAGGUGGCCGGAGAGAAUCAACGCCACAGAGUUGCUCUCUGACCUUCACGGGCGUACCAAGGAACGGGCAUGUUCCCCAUGUAUCAUACACACACACAAUAAUGAUAAAGAAAACAAAUAUUCUUAAAGCAAAUAAAUUUUUUAAAAGAUCCCAUCAGCCGAGCUGCCGUGCCCCUCCAUGGCUUUUUCCAUCCGUCCGUUUCACCGUUUAAACUGCUGUACAUUAACCUUAGAUAUUCUAUGACCUGUACCUUCUCCCUAAAGGUUUCUGUCUGUCCACUGCUGUGUGCCCAGAACUUCAGUCGGUCUGACAAUAAAUAUUUGUUGAAUGAUAAA